rnacentral:rRNA from 1 species
UGCGUAGGUGGUUUCUUAAGUCAGAGGUGAAAGGCUACGGCUCAACCGUAGUAAGCCUUUGAAACUGGGAAACUUGAGUGCAGGAGAGGAGAGUGGAAUUCCUAGUGUAGCGGUGAAAUGCGUAGAUAUUAGGAGGAACACCAGUUGCGAAGGCGGCUCUCUGGACUGUAACUGACACUGAGGCUCGAAAGCGUGGGGAGCAACA